rnacentral:rRNA from 1 species
AUUGAACGCUGGCGGCAUGCCUUACACAUGCAAGUCGAACGGUAACAGGUCUUCGGAUGCUGACGAGUGGCGAACGGGUGAGUAAUACAUCGGAACGUGCCCGAUCGUGGGGGAUAACGAAGCGAAAGCUUUGCUAAUACCGCAUACGAUCUACGGAUGAAAGCAGGGGACCGCAAGGCCUUGCGCGAACGGAGCGGCCGAUGGCAGAUUAGGUAGUUGGUGGGAUAAAAGCUUACCAAGCCGACGAUCUGUAGCUGGUCUGAGAGGACGACCAGCCACACUGGGACUGAGACACGGCCCAGACUCCUACGGGAGGCAGCAGUGGGGAAUUUUGGACAAUGGGCGAAAGCCUGAUCCAGUCAUGCCGCGUGCAGGAUGAAGGCCUUCGGGUUGUAAACUGCUUUUGUACGGAACGAAAAGACUCUGGUAAAUACCUGGGGUCCAUGACGGUACCGUAAGAAUAAGCACCGGCUAACUACGUG